rnacentral:tRNA from 1 species
GGUGGGGUUCCCGAGCGGCCAAAGGGAGCAGACUGUAAAUCUGCCGUCAUCGACUUCGAAGGUUCUAAUCCUUCCCCCACCACCA